GAAGGCCAAUAGCUCGGUGGCAGAGUAUCUGAUUUGCAUGCAGAAGGUCUCAGGUUCACUCCCUGGCAUCUUCA